UACGUAGGGGGGCAAGCGUUGUCCGGAUUUAUUGGGCGUAAAGAGCUCGUAGGUGGUUCGGUAAGUCGGGUGUGAAAAUCUCCCGGGCUCAACUCGGAGCCUGCUAGGGAAACUGCCGUGCUUGAGUGUGGGAGAGGUGAGUGGAAUUCCCGGUGUAGCGGUGAAAUGCGCAGAUAUCAGGGAGAACACCCGUGGCUAAGGCGGCUCUCUAGUACGGUACUGACGCUGAGACGCGAAAGCGUGGGGAGCGAACAGG
rnacentral:rRNA from 1 species